UUCCAAAUCCCACCUGCAGGUGGUGGUCUCUAGCACUCCUCUUGGUUCAUGGGCCUUGACUGACAGCUUUCUCCUGCAGCCAUCCUCUCCACAAUUCUGGGAGCGUCGACUGUGCUCACUCAACACUCCCUUUAACAAAGUGACAUCAGAUGUUUGGGCCCUACUUGCAUUUAAGCCAUCCAGUGCAUUCCACAUAAAAAGCGUGCACCUGGAGGAAACUAAAUAAUCACAACCAAUCACUCUUUUUUUAGAAAAAAGCAGCAGCUCUCUCAAUGUAGACCAAUUUAUCGGUCUAAACUAGAGAGACCGGGCAAGCCACUUCCAUCUUGCGAGUUUAGCAUAUUUGCCUGUUGACACCUACACUUGGAGGAAGCCAUUCUGUGUGUGUGGUGUGCCUUCACAAGUAAUUUCUAUGGAAAACAGCCGUCAGACAGUCAUCCUGGCCCAAGGUGACCUCAUUACCAGAAUUUGUUCUAGUUGUCAUUAGACAUAUCACACUAUGUCACUCAAAAUGGGAAAGAAAGAGAAGAUACUGACAUGCCGCCCCAGUGAUUAGAGAUGAAAAUGUAGUUAUACCAUAUAUGAUCCCUGCUUGGAGACUAUACGGAUAGGGUUUAAGAUUCAGGCCCCCCUCAGAUCCAUCACUGUGGUCCUGAAGCCUCUGUCCUUCUUCUGUUCUUUUAAACUUCUCUGUGUAGAUACAGCAAGUGUGUUUUCUACUCACUGCACAGCCAGCGCUGCUCUUGAACAAACUCCUGAGGGAGGUGCACGGAAACCAUGCAUCCAAAUCCGGAGAGCAGGGAGACCAGCCGGAUAGCCCACCUGGCUGACGAGACCCGGCCUCGCUCAGAAAGCUCCUCCAAGAUGCCACCGCGUGUGAAAUGCUUGGGGUUGAAUCUCGAGAGCAGGGAGACCAGCCAGACAGCCCACCUGGCUGACGAGACCCGGCCUCGCUUAGAAAGCUCCUCCAAGAUGCCACCGCAUGUGAAAUGCUUGGGGUUGAAAUGUAACGAAUCUCUCACUACUGACAAGAGAAAGGCCAGAACACAAACACACUUCCUGCUUCCAGAUGGAUGGAGGUGGGAGGAGGGAGGGGUUCUGACCAUCUUCUCUGGUGCUCAGUGAGGCAAUAGCAUGAGAUAGAUACCCUCAUCUACAGCCCCGCUCUCGUAUGUCCGGGGGAAGCUAUGGAGAGGGUGCUGCAAAGCUGCCAGCAAGUAUGUCUGCCUCUGACGAGUCACUGUUGGAUGUGAGGCAACGUGAAGGCUCCACCACUAGGACCCAGGCAAGACUGCCAAGCGGAUGAGGCUUCGCUUUAGGACCAUGGACUCUGGCGGCAGAUAAUGGCCUGAGAGGUCAGCUAGUCCAAUUGCUUCCUUGUAGACACGCAGAAACUGACGCCCAGAGAGGCAGGGCACCCCGUGUGUGGUCACCGUGGUCAGUGGCAGAGGUGGGGCUGGAGGUCAGAACUGGCUGCAUCCGUCUCCAUCUCCCCAAGCACAGGCCAUGCCUGCCUCUCCCAGGUGGCAUCUCCUCUCUGUGGUCCUUUCCCUCCUGCCUGCCUUUCUGCGACAUCUGCACUAUUCAGACAUCACGCUUCCUUUCGUCCUCACUCAAAAUUCCCAUUCACUCAGCAUUACCACGGUUUGAUAUUAGGACUGCUUGAUUCAAGCCAAUAGUGCUAAAUUAGAAAUAAUGAAGGCUUCACUCUUCCACGGGGUUCUGCCCUUGGAAGAACUAAUGAAACCCAAGGACCAUCCAGUUGGCAGGACUGGAAGUAACUGGGCAGAGGAGACAUUUUGGAGCAGGUGGUCGGUGCCCACCCACUGACAGGAGCUGCCGGUUUCUGACCCACUCCACCCCUCCUCCAGGACCCUCCAGAGUGAAUCUGGAGCGAGGGGGCCCAGUGACUUUGGGGUCAUUUGCACGGUAUCAGCUAUAGCCGCAGUGAGAGGGAGGCUGCUGGACACGCUGGGGUUCACCUGUGUCCCAGGAGAACCCCGCUUUAGGAUAUAACGGGUUCAUGCACUGGAGUAGCUGCCGGUACACAUCUAGGGAGUGAUGAUCCCCCUCCACCAGCCAGUGGGGAAUGAGCCCGUGAAGGUCACAGCCAGCCAUGAAACAGCUGCACUGCCCCAGCACGCCGCCCACGCUUGGUCGGCAACACAGAGAUUCCAUUUCUUCCUGGGAUUAGGAAGCACGAAGUGUCCAGAUCUGCUUCUGAAAUCUCUUCCUCCCUUAAGCCAGGGUCAAAGCUGCCUCAUGCAGACGGAGAGGAGAAGCUGCGUUCCCUGCCUUUCCCGAAUUGUUUGUGGACUGUGAGUGAUGCAUGUCCUGUGGCACCAUGGGAGCACCAGGGAACACCAUGCUGUCUCUCCCCGGAGCCCCCACUGGCGUCCUGGCCAUUUCCAGCUUGUCUCCCAAAGACAGGCUUCUUUGUGCUUUGGUCACACGGAGAAUUAUCAGUGCA
rnacentral:lncRNA from 1 species